rfam:Clostridium formicaceticum strain ATCC 27076, complete genome.
GAGAGCCGUAUACAUGGAGACAUGUAAGUACGGUUCGGGAGGGGGGUAUCGGGAACCUGUUGGAGUAAUCCAAUAAGGCACUGAUAGCCUACCUCAC